UACGUAGGUGGCAAGCGGUGUCCGGAUUUACUGGGCGUAAAGAGCGCGCAGGCGGUCGUUCAAGUCGAGUGUGAAAGCCCCCGGCUCAACUGGGGAGGGUCACUCGAUACUGAUCGACUCGAAGGCAGAAGAGGGAAGCGGAAUUCCCGGUGUAGUGGUGAAAUGCGUAGAUAUCGGGAGGAACACCAGUGGCGAAGGCGGCUUUCUGGUCUGCUCUUGACGCUGAGGCGCGAAAGCUAGGGUAGCAAACGGG
rnacentral:rRNA from 1 species